UUAGAGGGAAUGUUGCUCCUAACCCCAAAGCUGCUGAACUAUAUCAAUUUACAUGGGUCUCUACCGAAUGUGCAUUGAGAGGGGGAUGAGUAGUACCCAUACGCUGCAGGACAAUUUGCACUAUAGGGUUUUUUCUAGGCAGCUUGACAACAUGCUGCAUCUCCCUGACACAACAUCUGUAUGAUGUUUAUGCCCCGACAGUAUGGCAUUGCAUUGUGAUGCAAUGUCUCUGUGCAGGCCCGGCCAAAGAGUUUGUGGGCCCCAAGGCAGCACGCUGUGGUUGGCUGAGCCACGCGGCCCCCAGUCAGGGCAGCGACAGGUGGUCAAAGGACUUGUUCCAUUCCAGUGCCUCCUCUGAGGAAUUUCUGGAGAGGAAACGCAAAGUAUAAACCUUAUGGAAACAAACUCUAACAAGUGCUCGAUCUGGUCAAAUACUCAGGGAUAGAAAAGCUCCAGGACAGAAGCUGGCUACCGCAUUUAGGGGAAGACAGAGGAAUUGGUGAGGAUAGCAUCGCUCCAUAGAAAACUCAAUGCUGACACAGGGGUCACUCUCCACAAACAGAAGCCUUGCCAGGGGACGUGAGGAACAGCGCAUGAUGUCUGGUGAAAGGAAAGGCUUUCUCGUGAUUGGUGUGUGAGAAAGACCUCAGCUUCAACCCUGCCCCAGAGAGCAGCCUGGAGCAGCCAUGGAGCUGGGUCAGCAGCUGGAACCAGAAGGUCUCUGCACAGCUCUCACAAUCAGUGGCUUGUGAUGUGUAAAUAAAUGGAGAAAAGCGUCGGAUCCAAGUAGCAGACAUUCCUCUCUUCCUGUCUGUACUCCGUCUCCUUCCUGGCUUCCCGCCUACUUCCUCUCCCCUCUUCACUCUCCUCUCCGGAAACUACUUCCCUUUCUCACUUCCCCUCCUUUCCCUCGUCCUGCAGCUCCUGCAGGCCUCUUGCUUCACUCUGUCCUAGUUACUUUCUGCCAUCUCUGUCCCACCUUCUUCAGUUUCCUUUUUCUCCCUCCCUCCCUGCCUUUCCUUCUGUUCUCCUCCCCUGCACCAGUGGAAGAAUUUUGGUGGUGCCCAGAGCUCACACUCCUGCCCCACUUAAACUCCCCCCUCCCACCUGCCUAAGGCUCUGAGAGGGAGUUUGGGUGGGGGAAGGGUUGCAGGCUCUGGGAGGGAAUUUGGGUACAGGAGGGGUAAGGGGUGGAGCUGUACGGGCCUCACUAACCCUGGUGCACUGCCGACAGGGCCAGAGGACACUGGAGGCAGGGAACGGCGAGUUUUUAUGGUGCCAGCCCAGGGCCAGGAAUAUUCCUGGUGUCAGGGCUCCACAGGCCCAUAUAACUCGCUGCCAAUGCCAGUGUUUUUUCCUUCUAAGCUGUGCACUUGGGCAGCUGCCCAGGAGAUAUUCAAAUGCCACGCAGCUAAUUAGCAGAGCAUCCACAGUUGCCCAGAGCAGAUUUUUCCAUCGGUGCUGCACAUCUGCACAUGUCUAGGAGCACGUAACAAAAUUUAUCCCGCACCUGAAUGGAAAAAAUAAGAAGGAACAUUGCCUUGCACCCAUGUCUAUUCCAACUUCUGUCUUUGUUUCUACCUUCGUUCUCUCUGUCUCUCUCUCUCAUGGCCUUAUGCUCUGCAGGACAAACGUCAAAUCCAGGGGCAACCCCACAGCUAGCAUGCACUCAUUCGUAAGAAGCUGAUCCCCUCCUGACGUCUCCCAGGCUUCUGUCUCCUCCAUGCAUGAGCUCUCUCUAUGUAGUGAAAACUCUUCUUUUUAGAUCAGAUGGCCAGGAUCCUUCUGUGUUGUUUGGGGGGCUGGAGGUGUCCAGACCUAAGAGGACUUUCUUGGGAGGAACUUUAGAACCUAGGGCUCCUUCUCUUUUUCCUCCGCCUCCGGCUGAUUUCCACCACUCGCCUUCCCCCCGUGUGUGGCCGAUAUAAGUCAUGCCUCGGUCGCUCCCCCAGGGCAUCUCACUACUUCCUGCCUUAGCCAUUUUGCCUGAUGUCUACUGUAGCCCAGCUCCUUGAAAACAACAGCCUCUGGCCCUAGACAAGCACUGAUUUCAGCUCUCCAUUUCUGGCCUUCUCUGAGCAGGCUAGCGACAGACACACACCAGCUCCUGAGCCCCUCUGCCAGCGGCAUCCCCCUCUCGCAUCCAGCUCCUACCACCAGACACUCACAGAAAUUACCACAUGAGCGGGGCCUAGUUCAGGCAGGGUGGGCGGCCGGUCUGAUCCGAGCCUCAGCAGAGACACCAGCCCAGGCACUGGCCUGGCAGACUCCAGAUUCUCCGGGCGGCAUUUCACACUGCCCCGCACCCUGGCAGGUGGGAACGCGGGUCAGUCCAGCCCCGGCCCACGCUGGCUGCCGCCUGGCCCUCCCCAGAGCUGCUUGGGCACCCGGCCUCAUUUCCAGCAUGUGGCUCCCAGGAGUCACCAGGUGAUCUGGCCCUGCGGCAGGUGGCUGCUUCCCCUUGGAAAUCCUCUUGGGAUGCUGGGUUCUGUGCUUCGGGGACAAAGAGCCUGACGGGUUGAAGAGCUCACCAUGCCCUGCCCAUCCUGCCAGCCCAACAGGCUCAGCUUGGCACGGGCUGGAUUUGUGGGAGGGGGCUGCGUAGAGGCAGGAGCCAGGCAUGGAUGGGGAAACAGCCCUGCAGGCAUGUUACCUGGGGGGUCACUGGAGCCAGGCUCCUUGAAACUGGAGCGAGGCCGAUAAUAAAACACGGGGCCAUGAAUAUUAAGGCUGAAGAGAGAAUGAGCAAGGAUAAUAAGGAAAGGUUACCUGUAAAUCAAGAGGGAUAAUGUGUUCCCUAGAGUCUCGACUUUAUUCUAACAGGCUGAAAUCCUUGUCCAAGCAAUUCCUCACCUAAAGCCUUCCAGCCUCACUAGCCCACAUGGCCAGGGUCCGCAUUGACUACAAAAAGUGCUGUCCUUUGGGUUCCUCAGUGAAGGGUAAGAGAGGCGUAACGACAUUGCACAAGGGGGGUUUUCUUGCACAAGAAGGGGCAGUGUAGACAACUCCUUCUGGCGCAAGAGCCUCUUCUGCAAAAAUGGUGGCUCAU